CCUACGGGAGGCAGCAGUGGGGAAUUUUGGACAAUGGGCGCAAGCCUGAUCCAGCCAUGCCGCGUGCAGGAUGAAGGCCUUCGGGUUGUAAACUGCUUUUGUACGGAACGAAAAGACUCUGGUUAAUACCUGGGGUCCAUGACGGUACCGUAAGAAUAAGCACCGGCUAACUACGUGCCAGCAGCCGCGGUAAUACGUAGGGUGCGAGCGUUAAUCGGAAUUACUGGGCGUAAAGCGUGCGCAGGCGGUUAUAUAAGACAGAUGUGAAAUCCCCGGGCUCAACCUGGGAACUGCAUUUGUGACUGUAUAGCUAGAGUACGGCAGAGGGGGAUGGAAUUCCGCGUGUAGCAGUGAAAUGCGUGGAUAUGCGGAGGAACACCGAUGGCGAAGGCAAUCCCCUGGGCCUGUACUGACGCUCAUGCACGAAAGACGGUGGGGAGGCGAAACAGGAGUUAGUAUACCCUACGGUAGUACCGACCGACCCUAAACCG
rnacentral:rRNA from 1 species